ACAUGUCCGCAUGAUUAAAGGUAUUUUCCGGUAGACGAUGGGGAUGCGUUCCAUUAGAUAGUAGGCGGGGUAACGGCCCACCUAGUCAACGAUGGAUAGGGGUUCUGAGAGGAAGGUCCCCCACAUUGGAACUGAGACACGGUCCAAACUCCUACGGGAGGCAGCAGUGAGGAAUAUUGGUCAAUGGGCGAUGGCCUGAACCAGCCAAGUAGCGUGAAGGAUGACUGCCCUAUGGGUUGUAAACUUCUUUUAUAAAGGAAUAAAGUCGGGUAUGCAUACCCGUUUGCAUGUACUUUAUGAAUAAGGAUCGGCUAACUCCGUGCCAGCAGCCGCGGUAAUACGGAGGAUCCGAGCGUUAUCCGGAUUUAUUGGGUUUAAAGGGAGCGUAGAUGGAUGUUUAAGUCAGUUGUGAAAGUUUGCGGCUCAACCGUAAAAUUGCAGUUGAUACUGGAUGUCUUGAGUGCAGUUGAGGCAGGCGGAAUUCGUGGUGUAGCGGUGAGAUGCUUAGAUAUCACGAAGAACUCCGAUUGCGAAGGCAGCCUGCUAAGCUGCAACUGACAUUGAGGCUCGAAAGUGUGGGUAUCAAACAGGAUUAGAUACCCUGGUAGUCCACACGGUAAACGAUGAAUACUCGCUGUUUGCGAUAUACGGCAAGCG
rnacentral:rRNA from 1 species